rnacentral:rRNA from 1 species
UCGAACGAGACCUUCGGGUCUAGUGGCGCACGGGUGCGUAACGCGUGGGAAUCUGCCCUCUGGUACGGAAUAACUCAGGGAAACUUGAGCUAAUACCGUAUAAUGACUUCGGUCCAAAGAUUUAUCGCCUGAGGAUGAGCCCGCGUAGGAUUAGCUUGUUGGUGAGGUAAAAGCUCACCAAGGCGACGAUCCUUAGCUGGUCUGAGAGGAUGAUCAGCCACACUGGGACUGAGACACGGCCCAGACUCCUACGGGAGGCAGCAGUGGGGAAUAUUGGACAAUGGGCGAAAGCCUGAUCCAGCAAUGCCGCGUGAGUGAUGAAGGCCUUAGGGUUGUAAAGCUCUUUUACCCGGGAUGAUAAUGACAGUACCGGGAGAAUAAGCCCCGGCUAACUCCGUGCCAGCAGCCGCGGUAAUACGGAGGGGGCUAGCGUUGUUCGGAAUUACUGGGCGUAAAGCGCACGUANGCGGCUUUGUAAGUUANAGGUGAAAGCCCGGGGCUCAACUCCGGAAUUGCCUUUAANACUGCAUCGCUAGAAUUGUGGAGAGGUGAGUGGAAUUCCNAGUGUANAGGUGAAAUUCNUAGAUAUUCNGAAGAACACCANUGGCGAANGCGACUCACUGGACACAUAUUGACGCUGAGGUGCGAAAGCGUGGGGAGCAAACANGAUUANAUACCCUGGUANUCCACGCCGUAAACNAUGAUGACUANCUGUCGGGGCGCUUA